UACAGAGGUCUCGAGCGUUAGGCGGAAUCACUGGGCUUAAAGCGUGUGUAGGCGGAUUGGUAAGUACUUUGUGAAAUCCCACGGCUUAACCGUGGAACUGCUUGGUAUACUGCCAGUCUUGAGCCAGCUAGGGGCUACCGGAACAAAUGGUGGAGCGGUGAAAUGCGUAGAUAUCAUUUGGAACGCCAAUGGUGAAAACAGCUCGCUGGGGGUUUGCUGACGCUGAGACACGAAAGCCAGGGGAGCAAACGGG
rnacentral:rRNA from 1 species